rnacentral:lncRNA from 1 species
CUUGGUGGAGAUCCCUGUGUGCCUGCAGGCCUUCCAAGGGUCAAGGAAAUUAGGAGGCAUUACUUUUGAAGCAACAUUCAUGUUUGCAUCUAGAACACCCAUAAUGGCUUUUUAAUGUCAUCCCUCAGGAAGUGAAGGUUUGAGGUUUGCAUCCUGUGUGUCCAGAUUUGGAUGAAAUGUGACUACUGAUGGCUUACUUUUGGUGUCACCACUUAACUGGACAGAGAUGAUGAAGUCCUGGUUUUAGAGUCUCAGCACUGUAUUUCACUAGAUUUACAUUUGCUUUAUGUGCCAAAAUCACUGAAAAUGGCAUAAUAUUAUAUUUGUUAAUCAAUGGACUAAAUGUGGACUAUAUGAACCAAAUCAUCUAGAUUUCAGCACAGUGGAAAAAGUUAUUGUUUACAUGAAAAUUUAAUUUCUUGAUAAUAUUCAACAUGGCAAAUUUUUAGUGCAUUCAGUCAUAUUUAUGUGAAAUAUUUGGUACAACAGGAACCUUGCAGAUUUUAGAAAAUGCUUCAUCUCUGUACUACAAUACUUAAUAGAAAACCGAAGAUACCAAUCUCAAUCCAAAGAGGUAACACCUCUUUGAGUAUUUCAGUAUUCUAAGCUGUGGCUAAAACUAAUACACAUUAUCAACAAGCCUGUCUAGUAUUCAAAAAUAAAUUAUUUAAAGUUAGAAAAUAGAACCAUCCACUGAAAUGGCUGCUUGAUUAGGUAUUGUUACUAAUCAAUUCAAUUCAUUGGGUUGUGCAAAUGCAUCUGAAAUGGUCUUGCGAUCAGUGAAAAACAUUUGUCAUGGGAAAAAAAUUCUGAAGUAGAUAUUUAUCAAAUCACACUGAUUAAAUCCUGGCUCUAGGAAAUAGUACCAUAUGAGCUGGGGUUUAGUCAAUAAGGAUGUGAUGAAAUCCAUAUUACAACUUUCCAAACAAUCAUCUGGAUGAUAAUGCAAAGUGUUGCCUGAAGGAAGAAACAAAAGAGUAGAAAUAUUAAAUGAUGUGGUAUUUCCACAGGUCUUCACUCUAAUAUGAACAACAGCACAUGAGCUACAGUUGCUUUGUUUUUUUUUUUGUUUGUUUGUUUUUAGUACAGAGUUAUAAUUAAAUGUAACACCAUCAUCAUAAACAAAAAAAAUUCUAUGAAAAAAAUGGCGUAGAUGCCAAUAAUGCUUGUAAUAGAAGAGUCUUUGUGGACACAUCUAUGUUUAAAAACACAUCCUGUAAUAGAGCCCUUGGUUGACCUUCAUCUUGAUACUUAACCAAGCCUGGCAUGAUAUUUUAAAAUUGUAUCAUAGUUUUGGUUUUUUUGUUGUUGUUGUUGAUUGUUUUUGCUGUUUGCUUGUUUGGUUGGUUUUUUUUCCUGCAGUAAUGGCAUAAAAUUUUCCGAUGGUAGACUAAAUAGAUCAACUCUGUCCAUGU